CCUUGCCAGCCCGCUCAGAAACUAAGGAAUUGACGGGGCCCGCACAAGCGGUGGAGCAUGUGGUUUAAUUCGACGCAACGCGAAGAACCUUACCUAGGCUUGACAUGCUGGAGAAAGCUUGCGGAAACGUGAGCCCCUCUUCGGAGUUCCAGCACAGAUGCUGCAUGGCUGUCGUCAGCUCGUGUCGUGAGAUGUUGGGUUAAGUCCCGCAACGAGCGCAACCCUCACUCUUAGUUACCAGCGGGUAAAGCCGGGGACUCUAGGGGGACUGCCGGUGCCAAACCGGAGGAAGGUGGGGAUGACGUCAAGUCAUCAUGGCUCUUACGUCUAGGGCUACACACGUGCUACAAUGGGCCGGACAGAGGGUCGCCAACUCGCGAGAGUGAGCCAAUCCCCAAACCGGUCCUCAGUUCGGAUUGUAGUCUGCAACUCGACUACAUGAAGCUGGAAUCGCUAGUAAUCGUGGAUCAGCUACGCCACGGUGAAUACGUUCCCGGGCCUU
rnacentral:rRNA from 1 species